UGUCUGAAAAUGGUAGACAUUUUUUGUUUCUGAGAAAUUUCAGAUAGUGAAGGGGGCACUUUCUGCUCAUUUUCGAGGAAUCCGAAUACUCCCACUGUUUAUUUACUGUUCACAUGGAAAAAGACAUCCUCAAAUGAAGAGAAUGGCAAUGGAUUCACGGAUCAAGUAUUCCUGAAGACAGAGCAUCCUUUGAAUUUAGGAUGAGAAAAACAGAAUUCUCAAGCCAGGGAAUGAAAAUCUUUCAUUCAAGAGGGGAAUAUUAUCAAAUAAGAAAAGAGAACAAAAAUACUUCGUCAACUCGAUGUUCAUCACUUUUCCAAAAACCGAAUGUUAUCAUGUUUGAGAAAAAUUUCGUAAUCUUUCAGGCUGAUGACGAAUAUAUGUAUAAAAUUAACUGCUUGGAUGGGCAAGGAAGUGAAAUUCAACAAACAAAUUCGGAUUCUGCGAUCCAAAAAACAUUUAAAAAAUCCAAAUUCGACGUGUAGACCUUUCAGUGAAUAUGAACUACUAGGAAAUAUACCAUAAACGAUGAUUUUUUUUUCCCACUCCUAGCUAACCCGGCAAACUACGUUUUUAGUGGAAUGAGGAGAUACGGGAGUUUUAUAUAUAAUGCAGGUUGCAAGUGGAGUUUUAUAUAUAAUGCAGGUUGCAAGUGGAUAGGAGUCAGGUGCUCACUACUGCAGUGUCAAGUACAUCUAUUCACCUAUCCAUAAAUCCGUCUCUCCAGAAACCGCGAUGAAGUUGUGGUCGUUUUUCACUCUAUUCCUAAUUGUGCUGGCUUGCAUCCAUGUAGCGGAAUUACAUCCGCAUGGUAAAAAAGGGGGCAAAAAAGGGGGUAAAUCUGGAGGUAAAAAAGGAGGUAAAGGAGGUUACAAAGGACACAAAAAGUGGUAAAAAAGGGCAUUCGGAUGGACAGAAACACUGAGAGUGUCAUCGACAAGCAAUCCAUGUCAACAUCGUUUUGUAUUAGAAUCAGUUGAUGGGCGAGGAUAGAAAACGGGGCCGGCAUUUUGGAUUGCUGAUUUCGUCGAUGAACAUGCCAAUUUGUUUUGUUCAAAAAAGCUCAACAUGUAUAAGUAUUCUUCGGACAUUUGAAAAUUAUAGUUUGUAAUCGAACGGCUGAACGUAUCAGUUGUCCUUAAAAAAUUGUAACAAUCAUCUUAAUUCGUUGCAUUAUUCCUGUCCUGAGUUAAUGUUUUUUUGUUAAACAUGUUAAAUUUGUUGACAGAUACAUGUGAAAAGUAAAUAAAUUGUUAUGAGGAAAUU